rnacentral:rRNA from 1 species
UAGUCAUAUGCUUGUCUCAAAGAUUAAGCCAUGCAUGUCUAAGCACAAGCCGAUUAAUGGUGAAGCCGCGAAUGGCUCAUUACAACAGCCAUAGUUUCUUAGAUCUUACUUUUCUACUUGGAUAACUGUGGUAAUUCUAGAGCUAAUACACGCAAACAAGCUCAGACCUUACGGAAUGAGCGCAUUUAUUAGAACAAAAACCAAUCGGGCUUCGGUCCGUCAUUUGGUGAAUCUGAAUAACUUUGCUGAUCGCACGGUCUUCGUACCGGCGACAUAUCUUUCAAAUGUCUGCCUUAUCAACUUUCGAUGGUAGUUUAUGCGCCUACCAUGGUUGUAACGGGUAACGGAGAAUAAGGGUUCGACUCCGGAGAGGGAGCCUGAGAAACGGCUACCACAUCCAA